rnacentral:piRNA from 1 species
CGUGGUCUUUUUAAUUUCAAA